rnacentral:pre_miRNA from 1 species
UCUUAUGGAUGAGCAGAAAAAGUAGUUUCUUGAGAUGGAAUCUACCUCUGGUGAAGGUACUGUGAA